rnacentral:misc_RNA from 1 species
UCUCCGUUGGUGAACCAGCGGAGGGAUCAUUACUGAGUUUACAACUCCCAAACCCUUUGUGAACAUACCUUUUUGUUGCUUCGGCGGGUAGGGUCUCCGCGACCCUCCCGGCCUCCCGCCUCCGGGCGGGUCGGCGCCCGCCGGAGGAUAACCAAACUCUGAUUUAACGACGUUUCUUCUGAGUGGUACAAGCAAAUAAUCAAAACUUUUAACAACGGGUCUCUUGGUUCUGGCAUCGAUGAAGAACGCAGC